UUAAGCGACUAAGCGUACACGGUGGAUGCCCUGGCAGUCAGAGGCGAUGAAGGACGUGCUAAUCUGCGAUAAGCGUCGGUAAGGUGAUAUGAACCGUUAUAACCGGCGAUUUCCGAAUGGGGAAACCCAGUGUGAUUCGUCACACUAUCAUUAACUGAAUCCAUAGGUUAAUGAGGCGAACCGGGGGAACUGAAACAUCUAAGUACCCCGAGGAAAAGAAAUCAACCGAGAUUCCCCCAGUAGCGGCGAGCGAACGGGGAGCAGCCCAGAGCCUGAAUCAGUGUGUGUGUUAGUGGAAGCGUCUGGAAAGGCGCGCGAUACAGGGUGACAGCCCCGUACACAAAAAUGCACAUGCUGUGAGCUCGAUGAGUAGGGCGGGACACGUGGUAUCCUGUCUGAAUAUGGGGGGACCAUCCUCCAAGGCUAAAUACUCCUGACUGACCGAUAGUGAACCAGUACCGUGAGGGAAAGGCGAAAAGAACCCCGGCGAGGGGAGUGAAAAAGAACCUGAAACCGUGUACGUACAAGCAGUGGGAGCACGCUUCGGCGUGUGACUGCGUACCUUUUGUAUAAUGGGUCAGCGACUUAUAUUCUGUAGCAAGGUUAACCGAAUAGGGGAGCCGAAGGGAAACCGAGUCUUAACUGGGCGUUAAGUUGCAGGGUAUAGACCCGAAACCCGGUGAUCUAGCCAUGGGCAGGUUGAAGGUUGGGUAACACUAACUGGAGGACCGAACCGACUAAUGUUGAAAAAUUAGCGGAUGACUUGUGGCUGGGGGUGAAAGGCCAAUCAAACCGGGAGAUAGCUGGUUCUCCCCGAAAGCUAUUUAGGUAGCGCCUCGUGAAUUCAUCUCCGGGGGUAGAGCACUGUUUCGGCAAGGGGGUCAUCCCGACUUACCAACCCGAUGCAAACUGCGAAUACCGGAGAAUGUUAUCACGGGAGACACACGGCGGGUGCUAACGUCCGUCGUGAAGAGGGAAACAACCCAGACCGCCAGCUAAGGUCCCAAAGUCAUGGUUAAGUGGGAAACGAUGUGGGAAGGCCCAGACAGCCAGGAUGUUGGCUUAGAAGCAGCCAUCAUUUAAAGAAAGCGUAAUAGCUCACUGGUCGAGUCGGCCUGCGCGGAAGAUGUAACGGGGCUAAACCAUGCACCGAAGCUGCGGCAGCGACACUAUGUGUUGUUGGGUAGGGGAGCGUUCUGUAAGCCUGUGAAGGUGUGCUGUGAGGCAUGCUGGAGGUAUCAGAAGUGCGAAUGCUGACAUAAGUAACGAUAAAGCGGGUGAAAAGCCCGCUCGCCGGAAGACCAAGGGUUCCUGUCCAACGUUAAUCGGGGCAGGGUGAGUCGACCCCUAAGGCGAGGCCGAAAGGCGUAGUCGAUGGGAAACAGGUUAAUAUUCCUGUACUUGGUGUUACUGCGAAGGGGGGACGGAGAAGGCUAUGUUGGCCGGGCGACGGUUGUCCCGGUUUAAGCGUGUAGGCUGGUUUUCCAGGCAAAUCCGGAAAAUCAAGGCUGAGGCGUGAUGACGAGGCACUACGGUGCUGAAGCAACAAAUGCCCUGCUUCCAGGAAAAGCCUCUAAGCAUCAGGUAACAUCAAAUCGUACCCCAAACCGACACAGGUGGUCAGGUAGAGAAUACCAAGGCGCUUGAGAGAACUCGGGUGAAGGAACUAGGCAAAAUGGUGCCGUAACUUCGGGAGAAGGCACGCUGAUAUGUAGGUGAAGUCCCUCGCGGAUGGAGCUGAAAUCAGUCGAAGAUACCAGCUGGCUGCAACUGUUUAUUAAAAACACAGCACUGUGCAAACACGAAAGUGGACGUAUACGGUGUGACGCCUGCCCGGUGCCGGAAGGUUAAUUGAUGGGGUUAGCGCAAGCGAAGCUCUUGAUCGAAGCCCCGGUAAACGGCGGCCGUAACUAUAACGGUCCUAAGGUAGCGAAAUUCCUUGUCGGGU
rnacentral:rRNA from 1 species